rnacentral:rRNA from 1 species
GGACGAACGCUGGCGGCGUGCUUAACACAUGCAAGUCGAACGGAAAGGCCCUGCUUUUGUGGGGUGCUCGAGUGGCGAACGGGUGAGUAACACGUGAGUAACCUGCCCUUGACUUUGGGAUAACUUCAGGGAACUGGGGCUAAUACCGGAUAGGAGCUCCUGCUGCAUGGUGGGGGUUGGAAAGUUUCGGCGGUUGGGGAUGGACUCGCGGCUUAUCAGCUUGUUGGUGGGGUAGUGGCUUACCAAGGCUUUGACGGGUAGCCGGCCUGAGAGGGUGACCGGCCACAUUGGGACUGAGAUACGGCCCAGACUCCUACGGGAGGCAGCAGUGGGGAAUAUUGCACAAUGGGCGGAAGCCUGAUGCAGCAACGCCGCGUGCGGGAUGACGGCCUUCGGGUUGUAAACCGCUUUCGCCUGUGACGAAGCGUGAGUGACGGUAAUGGGUAAAGAAGCACCGGCUAACUACGUG